ACAUGCAAGUCGCACGAGAAAGGGGAGCAAUCCUCGAGAUGUGGCGUACGGGUGAGUAACACGUGGAUCAUCUACUUAAUAGUGGGGAAUAACCAUGGGAAACCGUGGCUAAUACCGCAUAAGCUCGAGAGAGGAAAGCAGCAAUGCGCUGUUCUGAGGAGUCCGCGGCCGAUUAGCUAGUUGGCAGGGUAAAAGCCUACCAAGGCAGAGAUCGGUAGCCGGCCUGAGAGGGCACACGGCCACACUGGCACUGAAACACGGGCCAGACUCCUACGGGAGGCAGCAGUGGGGAAUCUUGCACAAUGGGGGAAACCCUGAUGCAGCGACGCCGCGUGAGCGAUGAAGCCCUUCGGGGUGUAAAGCU
rnacentral:rRNA from 1 species